UGGCAGACAUUGUAAAAGACCCUGUGU
rnacentral:piRNA from 1 species